rnacentral:rRNA from 1 species
UACGUAGGUGGCAAGCGUUGUCCGGAAUUAUUGGGCGUAAAGCGCGCGCAGGCGGCCUUUUAAGUCUGAUGUGAAAGCCCACGGCUCAACCGUGGAAGGUCAUUGGAAACUGAAAGGCUUGAGUACAGAAGAGGAAAGCAGAAUUCCACGUGUAGCGGUGAAAUGCGUAGAGAUGUGGAGGAACACCAGUGGCGAAGGCGGCUUUCUGGUCUGUAACUGACGCUGAGGCGCGAAAGCGUGGGGAGCAAACAGG